rnacentral:piRNA from 1 species
UGUUAGCCUCUGUCAAGCACUCCUGG